AGUGGCGGACGGGUGAGUAACGCGUGGGUAACCUGCCUCACACAGGGGGAUAACAGUUGGAAACGGCUGCUAAUACCGCAUAAGCGCACAGUACCGCAUGGUACAGUGUGAAAAACUCCGGUGGUGUGAGGUGGACCCGCGUCUGAUUAGCUAGUUGGCAGGGCAACGGCCUACCAAGGCGACGAUCAGUAGCCGACCUGAGAGGGUGACCGGCCACAUUGGGACUGAGACACGGCCCAAACUCCUACGGGAGGCAGCAUG
rnacentral:rRNA from 1 species